UACGUAGGUGGCAAGCGUUGUCCGGAAUUAUUGGGCGUAAAACGCGCGCAGGCGGUCUUUUAAGUCUGAUGUGAAAGCCCCCGGCUCAACCGGGGAGGGUCAUUGGAAACUGGGAGACUUGAGUGCAGAAGAGAAGAGUGGAACUCCACGUGUAGCGGUGAAGUGCGUAGAGAUGUGGAGGAACACCAGUGGCGAAGGCGACUCUUUGGUCUGUAACUGACGCUGAGGCGCGAAAGCGUGGGGAGCAAACAGG
rnacentral:rRNA from 1 species